CGGGGCUCGAACUCCCGGACGGCGAGAUCGUGACCUGGCUGAAGUCGGACGCUAAACCGACUGCGCCACCCAGGCGCCCCGUGUGGUCCACAUUUUUAAGCAACAAAGUUAUCUGCUCAAAAGAUAAACCACGUCAUGCCUUCUCUUUGAUUAAAACUCUCCUUUGUUUUGCCUUCUAUUUUGAAUGAAAGUCAAGCUUUUUCCUACAACCUACAGAGACCUACUUGGUCAAGGCACAGCCUUCCUCUCUGACUGAGUGUCCUGCCAUUGUCCUGCUAAGCCACUACAAUCGCCUUUUUCUGGCCCUAAUGCCUUAGAUUGUGACUAAUGCUGGGUCUCUGCACUUGGUGUUCCUUCCACCUAGAAAGUUCUUUCCUUCUCUCAUCACUUAGAUCUGAAGCUUCAUACCUCAGAGGCUUGUUGUUCAUUUAGUUUUUUUUAUCAUACAGAUUCACUCCUGAAAUAACACAUUUUGUUGAUUUGGAUACAUAUUUGUUGUCUUUCCUCUAGAAGAUAAACUUCAUAAGACGAGAUACCUGGUAUGGAAUAACAUCCAACCCACACAGGUGUCAACAUCCUAAUCCUCAGAAACUGUAAAUAUGUUUCCUUACAUGGCAAGGGGGCUUUAACCAUGUGAUUAAAUUAAGGAUCUUGAGAUGGAAGGUUUUUCCGGAUUAUCCAAGCGGAUCCAGUGUAAUCACAAGGGCCUUUUUAAGAUGGAGGUAAGAAAGUCGAAGUCAUUAAGAGGAGAUGUAAGGAGAGAACCGAAGGUUGGAAUGAUGUGCUUUGAAGAUGGACAAAAGGGCAAUGAAGUAAAGAAUGCAGAUGGCCUCUAGAUUCUGGAAAAGGCAAGGAAAUUAUAUUCUUCUUGUGUCUCCAAAAAGCACCCACCUUGACAGCACCUUGCAUUUAGUCCAGUAAAACUAAUUUCAGACUGAUGAUUUGCAUAACUGUAAGAUGAUAAAUUUGUAUUGCUGAAAGCCACUAAGUUUGUGGUAAUUUAUCAGGGCAGCAACAGGAUACUGAUUCACAUGUUGCUUUGUUCCCUACUGAAUCCAUCCUGUCCGCACCUGCCUGACACGUAGUGAAGAGUCAGUACAUCUUUGUAAAACAAACAAUGGUAAACCACAUGCCAAAAUUGCCUUAUGAGAAUACACGAAUGAAGUGAUUUAGACUAUAUAUUGGCAAGACUAUAAUUAUAAGCCCUAUUUGCUGUUAAAAACAAUAAAAUUUCCCCCCUCUCUCAUGCCUAUUUCUCUACAACAAAACACA